CCUGCAAAACGUUCUAUCGCUGCUGUCUUGUACAGCGGAGGAAAGUCCGGGCAACACAGAGCAUCCUGCUUCCUAACGGGAAGGCGCCGGCAGCCGGCGACAGCAAGUGCAACAGAAAAUAAACCGCCACGAUUUAUCGGGGUAAGGGUGAAACCGUGAGGUAAGAGCUCACGACGUUUCCAGGCGACCGGAAAUGAUGGUAAACCUCAGGAGUUGAAAAACCAAAUAGGUCCCGGAAGUGGAGCUGCUCGCUCCCGCAAUGCCUUCGGGUACUACUCCGGGAUGGGUAGGUUGUUUAAACCUGUCAGCAAUGGCAGGGCCAGAUUAAUGAUAGAAAUUGCUUUUAAGCAAUACAGAACCCGGCUUACAGAUUUGCUGCUGAA
rfam:Mucilaginibacter lappiensis strain ATCC BAA-1855 genome assembly, contig: Ga0104715_104